rnacentral:lncRNA from 1 species
AUGUGUCUGUUAUCCAUCCACUGUGUCUGUUAUCCACCCACUGUCUGUUAUCCAUCCACUGUGUCUGUUAAUCCAUCCACUGUGUCUGUUAUCCACCCACUGUGUCUGUUAUCCACCCACUGUGUCUGUUAUCCACCCACUGUGUCUGUUAUCCACCCACUGUGUCUGUUAUCCACCCACUGUGUCUGUUAUCCAUCCACUGUGUCUGUUAUCCAUCCACUGUGUCUGUUAUCCAUCCACUGUGUCUGUUAUCCAUCCACUGUGUCUGUUAUCCAUCCACUGUGUCUGUUAUCCAUCCACUGUGUCUGUUAUCCAUCCACUGUGUCUGUUAUCCAUCCACUGUGUCUGUUAUCCAUCCACUGUGUCUGUUAUCCAUCCACUGUGUCUGUUAUCCAUCCACUGUGUCUGUUAUCCAUCCACUGUGUCUGUUAUCCAUCCACUGUGUCUGUUAUCCAUCCACUGUGUCUGUUAUCCACCCACUGUGUCUGUUAUCCAUCCACUGUCUGUUAUCCAUCCAAUGUGUCUGUUAUCCAUCCACUGUGUCUGUUAUCCAUCCACUGUGUCUGUUAUCCAUCCAAUGUGUCUGUUAUCCAUCCAAUGUGUCUGUUAUCCAUCCAAUGUGUCUGUUAUCCAUCCACUGUGUCUGUUAAUCCAUCCACUGUGUCUGUUAAUCCAUCCACUGUGUCUGUUAAUCCAUCCACUGUGUCUGUUAUCCAUCCACUGUGUCUGUUAUCCAUCCACUGUGUUUGUUAUCCAUCCACUGUGUCUGUUAUCCAUCCACUGUGUCUGUUAUCCAUCCACUGUGUCUGUUAUCCAUCCACUGUGUCUGUUAUCCAUCCACUGUGUCUGUUAUCCAUCCACUGUGUCUGUUAUCCAUCCACUGUGUCUGUUAUCCAUCCACAGUGUCUGUUAAUCCAUCCAGUGUCUGUUAUCCAUCCACUGUGUCUGUGUUGUGAUCAAAUUUCCUCAUCCCCUUCCUUUAUCAAAAAUUACUUCACAGCUAUUCUUUCAAAAAAUAUGAUUUAUAUAUUGUAA